rnacentral:rRNA from 1 species
CCUAACACAUGCAAGUCGAGCGCAGGAAGCAAGUUGAUCCCCUUCGGGGGUGACGCUUGUGGAAUGAGCGGCGGACGGGUGAGUAACACGUGGGCAACCUGCCUGUAAGACUGGGAUAACCCCGGGAAACCGGGGCUAAUACCGGAUAAUACUUUCUUUUGCAUAAAGGAAAGUUGAAAGGCGGCUUCGGCUGUCACUUACAGAUGGGCCCGCGGCGCAUUAGCUAGUUGGUGAGGUAACGGCUCACCAAGGCGACGAUGCGUAGCCGACCUGAGAGGGUGAUCGGCCACACUGGGACUGAGACACGGCCCAGACUCCUACGGGAGGCAGCAGUAGGGAAUCUUCCGCAAUGGACGAAAGUCUGACGGAGCAACGCCGCGUGAGUGAUGAAGGUUUUCGGAUCGUAAAACUCUGUUGUUAGGGAAGAACAAGUUGGGUAGUAACUGACCCAACCUUGACGGUACCUAACCAGAAAGCCACGGCUAACUACGUGCCAGCAGCCGCGGUAAUACGUAAGUGGCAAGCGUUGUCCGGAAUUAUUGGGCGUAAAGCGCUCGCAGGCGGUCCUUUAAGUCUGAUGUGAAAUCUCGCGGCUCAACCGCGAACGGUCAUUGGAAACUGGAGGACUUGAGUACAGAAGAGGAGAGUGGAAUUCCACGUGUAGCGGUGAAAUGCGUAGAGAUGUGGAGGAACACCAGUGGCGAAGGCGACUCUCUGGUCUGUAACCGACGCUGAGGAGCGAAAGCG